rnacentral:rRNA from 1 species
GACGGAGGAUGCAAGUGUUAUCCGGAAUCACUGGGCGUAAAGCGUCUGUAGGUGGUUUAGAAAGUCUGCUGUUAAAGCUUGAAGCUUAACUUCAAAAAUGCAGUGGAAACUUCUAGACUCGAGUGUGGUAGGGGUAGAGGGAAUUUCCAGUGGAGCGGUGAAAUGCGCAGAUAUCAGGAAGAACACCAAUGGCGAAGGCAGCUCUCUGGGACGGUACUGACGCUGAGACGCGAAAGCGUGGGGAGCGAACAGG